GUACUGAUGAAGAGUCCCAAACCGGGACGAAACAGCUGUCUGGUAU
rnacentral:hammerhead_ribozyme from 1 species